rnacentral:rRNA from 1 species
UUUUUAUGGAGAGUUUGAUCCUGGCUCAGGAUGAACGCUGGCGGCGUGCCUAAUACAUGCAAGUCGAGCGAACAGACGAGGAGCUUGCUCCUCUGACGUUAGCGGCGGACGGGUGAGUAACACGUGGAUAACCUACCUAUAAGACUGGGAUAACUUCGGGAAACCGGAGCUAAUACCGGAUAAUAUAUUGAACCGCAUGGUUCAAUAGUGAAAGACGGUUUUGCUGUCACUUAUAGAUGGAUCCGCGCCGCAUUAGCUAGUUGGUAAGGUAACGGCUUACCAAGG